CAGCAGCCGCGGUAAUACGUAGGGUGCAAGCGUUAAUCGGAAUUACUGGGCGUAAAGCGUGCGCAGGCGGUUUGUUAAGACAGAUGUGAAAUCCCCGGGCUUAACCUGGGAACUGCAUUUGUGACUGGCAAGCUAGAGUCUGGCAGAGGGGGGUGGAAUUCCGCGUGUAGCAGUGAAAUGCGUAGAUAUGCGGAGGAACACCGAUGGCGAAGGCAGCCCCCUGGGCCAACACUGACGCUCAUGCACGAAAGCGUGGGGAGCAAACAGGAUUAGAUACCCGGGUAGUCCCUGUCUCUUAUAC
rnacentral:rRNA from 1 species